rnacentral:rRNA from 1 species
GACGAACGCUGGCGGCGUGGAUUAGGCAUGCAAGUCGAACGGUAUCAUCCUUUCGGGGGUGAGAGAGUGGCGAACUGGUGAGUAACACGUAGGUUAUCUACCCUCAAGACGGGGACAACCCAGGGAAACUUGGGCUAAUACCGGAUGUGAGCAACUUUUAGUUGUUUGAAAGGUGGCGUAAGCUGUCGCUUGGGGAUGAGCCUGCGUCCUAUUAGUUAGUUGGUGAGGUAACGGCUCACCUAGGCAAUGAUAGGUAGGCGGCCUUAACGGGUGGUCGCCCACACUGGGAUUGAGAUACGGCCCAGACUCCUACGGGAGGCAGCAGUCGAGAAUAGUCUACAAUGGUCGGAAGACUGAUAGUGCGACGCCGCGUGAACGAUGAAUCCCUUCGGGGUGUAAAGUUCUUUUAUAUGUGAGCAGUGCUUCUUAUAUUAACAGUACGGGGAGAGAGAUAUUAGCAUAUGAAUAAGCAACGGCUAACUCCGUGCCAGCACGCCGACGGUAAACUCGU